CUUUGUUUAAGUGAUCCAUCUUUGUUUAAUUUCUCUUUCUAGUACCUUAUUAUCAAUUGGGUAUUUCAGUUUCUAGUACCUUAUGUAACUAAGUUUGCUCAUUGGGAAAGUUGAGUGAUUUCUUACAUUGACGAGGAAUUUAAAAGUCUAGAGCAUCAGUUGUAGCAGCUGUAUAGAUACACCUAAAAAUGAGUUCUGAAAGUACAAAGGAAGAGUGCCUUGCAUGGGCGGCGAAAGACCCAUCUGGAGUUUUAUCGCCUUACAAAUUCAGCCGCAGGGCUGUGGGCAGGCGAAGAUGUGUAUCUGAAAAUCACACAUUGCUGAAUCUGCUAUGCUG